UCUCUCCAUCACCUCAUUUAGACCAAAAAAAAAAAAUCUCCAGAGUGAUAUUUAUGGGACAUAAAUAAGAAGUAGACAAAUCUAAUUUAUUUCAGGGUCACUUCCAUCAGCUCCCAGAGCCAGUGCAAUCAAUGUCACUGAGAUCUCUGCUCCCCUUAAAGUAAAAAGAGAAUAAGUAAAAACAAAAAUCUCCAUAACUGCCAUCAUAAGCUUCAGAAGAUCUACGUGGCUGUAUCAUAAAGGCCUAAUUUAGACUGUUUUUCUAAGCGAGAGCUGCAUGAACAAACCCACCGACUGCCACAUGACCUCCGCAAAGAACUAAAACACAGGGUGUUUUCCCUCAGCGCAGCCAUAAUGAUACAUUGCUAUUUAUGUUCCGGCAGCUGGUGGGUGGCUGUGCUGAAAAGUCACUCAGUCUGCCUCCUUUAUUUGCCCCCCGAAUCUUGUAAGGCACCGCGAGGUUCAGUUUUAUGUGAAUGCCUCUGUUAGUUAGGAUGUAAAUUCCUUUUUACAAGCUGAGUGAUGGCAUAAACAGUUUUUUGAGCUGCGAAUAUAAAAAUCUUGAUCAUGUAAAUAAAUUCUGCAUGUAGGCUCGUGCGCCUAAUGCCGCUCUUUUCUGCGUGUUUAAUGAUCAGCCUAGCAGUGGGACUAUCGGCUGCUGAACUUAAUGGGAAGGGCAGAGUUGAAAGGAGAGCUGUAAUGAUUAGGGGAAUAACGUAUAAUUCAUUUCCAUCAUUCAGUCUACUUACACAGCUGGUUCCAGUUUGUGAGAAUUUGCUGCUUUGUCAUAUAAUAUUUAAGAUUUCCAUUUAAGAUGCCACCUCUGAGUGUGAAAAGUGUGACGGGUGUCUUUAUUUUGUUCUCCGUACAAGCUACAGGCAAUAAUUGAGGCUCCGCAGGUGUACUUUGUGACGGGAAUAUCAAUAUUCACCCCCCGGUUUAUCACUUAAACAUGAAAGAUUUAAGAGCUUUGGUGUUUUCUGUAUCUACAAGAUAAAUAUUUGCAGGCACUUCCUGUCUUUAUUUAUUAAAGAUCAAUGUCCACACAUGAUGGGUCACCGUGUUGUUCUCCUCAGUCGAUCUUUGUACUCCGCUGCCAAGGGCACAGCUCGGUGUAACGCACGCAGCACAGAACAGUUGGAACGCUGGGCACAUGAUGAGAAGUUAGAUAUGCUUUCUUUAGGCAUUAAAUACCGCACGCAAUCAAAGAUUUCUUCAAGACAGGCGAAAGAGCUCGCAGUACUGCAAAAGUCUGAGAACCAUCGCUUGAUUUUCGGCCGCUUCGCCUCCCUCCCGUCGCUGCAACGCUCUUUCGACACAUCCAGUGUAAGUAUUUACAUUUUUGUGAUUCCUUUCCUACAAAAGCGCAGCAGAAAUGUGGCACUUCUCCACAGAUAAUUAAUUGUGAAAUAAAGUGGUUGUAGGAUGAGAUGUGUGAAGAAUCUCCAGGUGUAAGGAUAUUCUUUAAGUGGCUCAUAACAGUGAAUAUCAAAGAAUACGAGGCCUGCGUGGGGAAAUAAAAUCUUCCUAAAGUUAUUCUCCCAUUCUACGGUGCAAUAUAGAGGGCUGAAAAGAUGUGGUUCUAUCAUAUUCUGUGGUCUCAGACUCAUGUAGAGAAUGUCAAUUGUUUUCUAUGUGAGAAGAGGUAAUGCCCCUGAGAGGAAGAAAACAGAACAAACAGGCAUCUUUAAAUAUAUUAAACUCUUUAAAAAACAAUUUAUUUAACACAUGUUAAUACAUCCAUAUCAUAUACAAUACAAUAACAGCCUUAUUUUUGAGAACUAGCAGGAAUCGAUACAUCCAGAUAAACCGCCUAAUAGAGUCAAUCAAAGUGUACAUCAUGUUUGCCAACAAUUCAAAAAUACAAAUCACCAGCCACUUUAUUGGGUAUACCUGUUCAACUGCUCUUCAGUGCAAAUGUCUAAUCAGCCGCUCACAUGGAGGCAACAGCAGGCAACAGUAACUCAAAUAGCCCCUUGUUACAACCAAGGUGUGCAGAAGAGCAUUUCUGAAUGAACAACAAGGUGAAUCUUUAAGCAGACAGGCCACAGCAACAGAAGACCACAAUGGGCAUCACUCCUUCCAGCUAAAACUGGAAACAGAGUCCACAAUUUGCACUGGCUCACCAAAAUUUUAAAACACUUCCUGGUAUGAUUAUUCUUGGUUCUGCUACACAACAGCAAUUUGGCAUAGAUAACAUGAAAGCGUGGAUCCAUCCGGUCUUAUUUCAACAAUUUAUGCUGGUACAAUGAUGUGAUGGUCUGGGGGUUGUUUUCUUGGGCCACUUUGGGCCCCUUUGCAAGAACUAAGCAUUGUUUAAAUGCCACAACCUGCUUGCUAACCGUGUCCAUCCCUUUAUGACCCCAACUUUUGAUGGCUGCUUCCAACAGGUCCCAAAGCUCACAUCAUCUCAAACUGGUUUCUUGAACAUGACAGCGAGUUCAGUGUACUCAAAUGGCCUCCACAGUCACCAGAUCUCAAUUCAACAGAGCACCAGAAUGUUUUCAACACCUUGUUGUAUCUAUGCCACAAGGCAAAAGGUGGCAGCCCUAACAAGUAUACCCAAUAAAGUGGCCAGUGAGUGUAUAUUCAGUUUAACUUUAAGCAAAAGAAAAGUGUCAAAUUCCAACUUAUGAGAAGAGGCAACGUUUGGCAUUUUUGCUUAAGAAUAAAGCUCAGUUACCUCAUCUAAUAUUUGCAACAUUUCUCCAGAAAUGAAAAGCUUUGGCCAGUAAUUUCCUCAUACCAUGCACAAACUGAAAGCCAGAUAAGCCUCUGUCAAACAUUAUCAAAGUACAUUAAACAGCUUGUCUAGGUUCAGUAUUGAUUUCCAGCAGUUCUCAGAGUAAACCUUAUCUGUGCCUCUGAACACUGGCUUGCGUGCACUGUUCAGUUGUGUUCAACUUGACGGGGCCGAGCUGUUAGAGAAGACAAAAACAAUGCUUAGGCUGCUGAAGCGGGAAAAAGUUUCCUCUUUUUCAUCUGCAAAUUAACCACUGACAAGAUCCAAAUGGGUAACCUUAAUUAACUGAAGCUGCUGUGCACUAAAGGCUGAACCACCUGGCUGUCAAACAGGGAACAUGGCGAGAAACAGACUACUCUGAGCGCAAGUUUGUGCCAAAACGUGUCUUUUUCAAUACAAUAUUCUAAUUGAUAUCGUCUGAAUGGACUGCUAAGCACUGACUGUACACACCUGGCCUCAAGGGCAUCAUCUUCAUCUCAUUUUAAUUGCAUUUGCAAUGAGGAAAGAAAUAAACCAGCUUUAACAAAUUAAAUCUGGAUGAUUUUGAUCAUUUACUUAAAAGUGUGGAAAUAUUAUCAGCAAACUGUAUCUUUUGUGUCAAAAGUAAAAACGCACUUGUGUUAUAUUAUUAUUUAUUGGAAAAUUAUCAAAGAUGCAUUAUGCAAAGCGAUUGUGGAGGAAGAUGAUAUAAAUUCACCAUGUGGGAGUCACGAUUAUGUACUUCCCCAUAGAGCUGCGCAGUGUCCAUUUUCUUUAUUGUGUUUUUCCCAUGUAAAAUUGAUUUUUGGUUUUCCCUCAUAAUUUCCAUAUAAUGGAAAUGGGAAGCUCUGCUUGGAAUUUUUUUUCCUGAUGUACAGUACUAAUCUUGUUUCCAGAGUGGCAAUAAUGAUGGUAGAAAUGCUCUGUAAAUGACACAGUAUUACACAUAAAUAACAAAACGGAUUUUAUUCACUUUUAUUAACUUUGUACAUUAUAAUAAAUAGUGAAUUUUGUGUUAUUACUACUCACUUCCUGUCUCAUCCAGAUUGAUCAACCACUGGAACACUUUUAGAGGAAGAAUGAGAGAAAAUAUGAAAAUAAUAUUACUUGACGAAUGCUCAGCAGAGCUUACAUUUGCUUUAAUGUCCUGAAUAGUACAUCAAUUACACGUACAGGCUACACCAGCUCCAACAACCAGCUUUAUUUUACCUUGUAAGCUACAGUCCAAGUCGCUUACUUUUUACUAUAGCUGUGAAUACUCAAUAAUAAUUAAGUGGAAAAGCUUGAAAAAGACAUAAAAAUAUACAACAUUGAAAUAAGUGGGUAAAAAAGAGAACUGAAAAGCUUUUAUGUUAUGGAGCAUAAUGAUUACACAUUUUAUUAAUGUAAUAAUGAUAUUCAGUUCCCAGUUUUAGUUCAGUUCCUCAAACCAUUUCCAAACUUUCUAGCAGCCCAGUAAAAUGUCCUACUUAUUAACAUAUGGCGUUUCUGAGGAAGAAAAAAGAAGGGCAGCCAGGCACUGUAAUUUUAAACGGCCUCUGUCGUCAUAGGGUCUCAUCACACACUCACAAAAGCUGCUUGAAGAAUUCCUAAGAUAUCAUUUAAGUUUUUAAAGGUCAUACAGUUUGAUAAUUCACGCUCCACAACCUGGUGACAGAUGUGA